rnacentral:misc_RNA from 1 species
CGCCAUAUUACAUUGAGUCUGCCACAUGGUUCCACUCAUUGGAGAGGAAACUCCAGAAGGGGUUAAAGGUGGAGUUGAUGAAGGAGGUAUCAGAGCUGAAGGAGAACCAAGGGUAAGUGGGCUGAUCGACGCAAUGUCGAGUGAAGAACCACAGAUUGAUCUUGGAGACAGUACAGCAGAACCAGUUGAAGCAUACAAGGG